AAUAUUGCACAAUGGGGGAAACCCUGAUGCAGCGACGCCGCGUGAGUGAAGAAGUAUUUCGGUAUGUAAAGCUCUAUCAGCAGGGAAGAAAAUGACGGUACCUGACUAAGAAGCCCCGGCUAACUACGUGCCAGCAGCCGCGGUA
rnacentral:rRNA from 1 species